rnacentral:piRNA from 1 species
UCCCGGAACACUGGAUCAUCU